UACGAAGGGGGCUAGCGUUGUUCGGAAUUACUGGGCGUAAAGCGCACGUAGGCGGAUAUUUAAGUCAGGGGUGAAAUCCCGGGGCUCAACCCCGGAACUGCCUUUGAUACUGGGUAUCUUGAGUGUGGUAGAGGUGAGUGGAAUUGCGAGUGUAGAGGUGAAAUUCGUAGAUAUUCGCAGGAACACCAGUGGCGAAGGCGGCUCACUGGGACCACAACUGACGCUGAGGUGCGAAAGCGUGGGGAGCAAACAGG
rnacentral:rRNA from 1 species